UACGGGGGGAGCAAGCGUUGUUCGGAUUUACUGGGCGUAAAGGGCGCGUAGGCGGUUGGAUAAGUCUUGUGUGAAAUCUUCGGGCUCAACUCGAAGUCUGCACAAGAAACUAUCUGGCUUGAGUGUGGGAGAGGUGAGUGGAAUUCCUGGUGUAGCGGUGAAAUGCGUAGAUAUCAGGAGGAACACCUGUGGCGAAAGCGGCUCACUGGACCACAACUGACGCUGAGGCGCGAAAGCUAGGGGAGCAAACAGG
rnacentral:rRNA from 1 species